rnacentral:rRNA from 1 species
UACAGAGGUCCCAAGCGUUGUUCGGAUUCACUGGGCGUAAAGGGUGCGCAGGCGGCCGCGCAAGUCGAGUGUGAAAUCCCCGAGCUUAACUUGGGAAUUGCGCUCGAAACUACGUGGCUGGAGUGUGGCAGAGGAAGGUGGAAUUCCACGUGUAGCGGUGAAAUGCGUAGAUAUCAGGAGGAAUACCGGUGGUGUAGACGGCUCUCUGGACCGUAACUGACGCUGAGACACGAAAGCGUGGGUAGCAAACAGG